GACGAAGGGGGCUAGCGUUGUUCGGAAUUACUGGGCGUAAAGCGAGUGUAGGUGGUUGUCCAAGUUGGAUGUGAAAGCCUUGAGCUCAACUCAAGAAAUGCAUUCAGGACUGGGCGGCUAGAGGACCGGAGAGGAUAGUGGAAUUCCCAGUGUAGUGGUGAAAUACGUAGAGAUUGGGAAGAACACCAGUGGCGAAGGCGGCUGAUCUGGACGGUUUCUGGACACUAAGACUCGAAAGCGAUGGGGAGGCAAACAGGG
rnacentral:rRNA from 1 species